CUACGGGCGGCUGCAGUGGGGAAUAUUGCACAAUGGGCGCAAGCCUGAUGCAGCCAUGCCGCGUGUAUGAAGAAGGCCUUCGGGUUGUAAAGUACUUUCAGCGGGGAGGAAGGGAGUAAAGUUAAUACCUUUGCUCAUUGACGUUACCCGCAGAAGAAGCACCGGCUAACUCCGUGGCCAGCAGCCGCGGUAAUACGGAGGGUGCAAGCGUUAGUCGGAAUUACUGGGCGUAAAGCGCACGCAGGCGGUUUGUUAAGUCAGAUGUGAAAUCCCCGGGCUCAACCUGGGAACUGCAUCUGAUACUGGCAAGCUUGAGUCUCGUAGAGGGGGGUAGAAUUCCAGGUGUAGCGGUGAAAUGCGUAGAGAUCUGGAGGAAUACCGGUGGCGAGGGCGGCCCCCUGGACGAAGACUGACGCUCAGGUGCGAAAGCGUGGGGAGCAAACAGGAUUAGAUACCCCUGUAGUC
rnacentral:rRNA from 1 species